rnacentral:rRNA from 1 species
GACGAACGCUGGCGGCGCGCUUAACACAUGCAAGUCGAGCGGGAACCGGGCCUUCGGGCCCGGGGACAGCGGCGAACGGGUGAGUAACACGUGGGUAAUCUGCCCUCGGUACUGGGAUAGCCCGGGGAAACCCGGAUUAAUACCGGAUAGCCCUUCGAGCCUUCGGGCUCGCCGGAAAAGGUAGCUUCGGCCUCCGACCGAGGAUGAGGCCGCGGCGGAUUAGCUUGUUGGUGGGGUAACGGCCUACCAAGGCGACGAUCCGUAGCUGGUCUGAGAGGACGAUCAGCCACACUGGGACUGAGACACGGCCCAGACUCCUACGGGAGGCAGCAGUGGGGAAUCUUGCCCAAUGGGCGAAAGCCUGAGGCAGCGACGCCGCGUGCGGGAAGAAGGCCCUCGGGUUGUAAACCGCUUUCAGGAGGGACGAAGCCACUCGGGUUAAUAGCCUAGAGGGUGACGGUACCUCCAGAAGAAGCCCCGGCUAACUACGUGCCAGCAGCCGCGGUAA